rnacentral:rRNA from 1 species
UAUAAGACUGGGAUAACUUCGGGAAACCGGAGCUAAUACCGGAUAACAUUUAGAACCGCAUGGUUCUAAAGUGAAAGAUGGUUUUGCUAUCACUUAUAGAUGGACCCGCGCCGUAUUAGCUAGUUGGUAAGGUAACGGCUUACCAAGGCGACGAUACGUAGCCGACCUGAGAGGGUGAUCGGCCACACUGGAACUGAGACACGGUCCAGACUCCUACGGGAGGCAGCAGUAGGGAAUCUUCCGCAAUGGGCGAAAGCCUGACGGAGCAACGCCGCGUGAGUGAUGAAGGGUUUCGGCUCGUAAAACUCUGUUAUUAGGGAAGAACAAAUGUGUAAGUAACUGUGCACAUCUUGACGGUACCUAAUCAGAAAGCCACGGCUAACUACGUGCCAGCAGCCGCGGUAAUACGUAGGUGGCAAGCGUUAUCCGGAAUUAUUGGGCGUAAAGCGCGCGUAGGCGGUUUCUUAAGUCUGAUGUGAAAGCCCACGGCUCAACCGUGGAGGGUCAUUGGAAACUGGGAAACUUGAGUGCAGAAGAGGAAAGUGGAAUUCCAUGUGUAGCGGUGAAAUGCGCAGAGAUAUGGAGGAACACCAGUGGCGAAGGCGACUUUCUGGUCUGUAACUGACGCUGAUGUGCGAAAGCGUGGGGAUCAAACAGGAUUAGAUACCCUGGUAGUCCACGCCGUAAACGAUGAGUGCUAAGUGUUAGGGGGUUUCCGCCCCUUAGUGCUGCAGCUAACGCAUUAAGCACUCCGCCUGGGGAGUACGACCGCAAGGUUGAAACUCAAAG